rnacentral:rRNA from 1 species
UACGUAGGGUGCAAGCGUUAUCCGGAAUUACUGGGCGUAAAGCGCACGCAGGCGGUCUUGUAAGUUUGACGUGAAAGCUCCCGGCUUAACUGGGAGAGGUCGUUGAAUACUGCAAGACUUGAGUUUAGGAGAGGGGUGUAGAAUUCCCGGUGUAGUGGUGGAAUGCGUAGAUAUCGGGGGGAAUACCAGUGGCGAAAGCGGCACCCUAGCCUUUGACUGACGCUCAUGUGCGAAAGCGUGGGGAGCGAACGGG